CCAGGGGCCUCCGCUAGCCCACCCUUCCUCGCUUCCGCCCUCACAUCCACCGCUGCCUGGCGCUUUGGGACAGGAGCUGGUUUGCAGCCUCAGCACAAGCUGGGGACGCAGGCUGGAGAGACGCCUGGCUUUUAAAGCCACUGAAGGGAUUUAUAGCUGGCAAAUUACAAAAGCAGGUCUAAUUAGCCCCAAGAGGCCCUUACAUAAGCAGUGGGGAGCGAGAUGCCGGGCGAUUUGCUCCCUUCUCUAGGCUCUUCCAGGAGAGUCUGGUAAUGAAUGUUUCCUAACAGCGGGAGCACAGAGCCCCUGUGGCUAACAGCUCUCCAGAGUCCACGGUGAUCCGGAUUUGCAGCCAGGCCACAUCACGGGAUGUGCCCAGAGCCCCAGCAGUGCCCCCGAUUGGCUUUGCGGUCUAAGCUAGAAGAGAGGUGGUUUUUAGAACAGUCUCCCUGGCAGCCCGGAAAUGUCAGCAGCCCUUCUCACUGCCUGGUUUAGGACGUAAUCACGUGCACCCACGGCAAGAAUCACAGAAGUUUAGAACUGGAAGGAACUUCGGUGACCAUCUGCUCCAAUCAAACCUGAAAAAGAAUCCUCUUCCUGACGUUCCCCCAAGUGCACCCAGCUAGUCUCUACUUGAAGAAGGCUGGGCAGGGGAGCCUGCCACAUUUGAGAUAGUUCUCAUUGCUGAGUGCUUGUUCCUAACAUCAAGUCUACACUGGCCUCUCAGCAGCUUCCCUCUAUUGCUUUUGAUUCUGCCUUUGAAUGAAAGCCAGCUGAAUUGCUUUUCCAUGUACAAAUCCUUUCCAUACAUGAAGUCAACUAUCAUGUCUUGCCCAAGUCUUCUCUUCUCCAUGCUGAAAAUGCCCACUUCCUUCAACUGACACCCUUAUAGCAUGAACUUGAGGCAUUUCACUGUCUUAGUUGUCCCCAUCUGGACACUCUCCAGCCUAUUGUCCCCACUAAAACAUGGUGCCUAGGAAUGAGCAUGCUACUCCAAGUGUGGCCUGUCCAGGGCAUAGUGCAGGGGACCUAUCACCUCCUUUGUUUUUGAUAUUAUGGCCCAAGAUUGCCAUUGGCCUUGUUUGGCUGUUAUAUCACAUAGUUGGCUCAUAGGGAGCUUGCCGUCCACCCAAACCCCAGAUCUUUUUCAAAUGACUUUCAAUGCAUAAAAUGUCCACAAAGUUUGAUUUUGAUGUCUCAUCAUGGAAGAAAGGUAGUCCUGGGUUCUCAAAGUUCUUCCAGAAAGCAAAGAAGGUCCUAUUGUGCCCAAAGGGCUCUGAUAUGACCCCAGUAACAGACCAAGUCUGCUUCCCAAAGACCAGCCCAGUUUAGCACAGAGUGACUUCUUGCCAGCAUGUGAUACUCUUUCCAAUCAAAGAGAACCAAUGAAACAAAGGAAAAUACCACUGGGCCAUCAGUCUUGCAUGGCCUCUUCUGCUAACAUGGUGAUGGUGACAGACUGGUAGCAAAGGGGCAGAGGAGUGAAGAAACCCAAUUUUUACACCUGGGUCCUCCCUCUGUUAGUACAGAGGGUCAGACUCCUUCCCGAAGGGGAGAAGAAAGAUGCAUGCAGAAGUGUGAGUGAUGCUCUGAAUCUUUAAGGCAUUUAUGGUUUUCCUGAGGACACACUUGGCUGAUGGAUAGCUUUUUCACUUUUUAUAAGCAAUUUGGAUCAUUUUUUCCAAGUGUUUUUGAGUGUACUGAAUUAGACACAAAUGAAAGGAUGCAUCCAAUGGCCUUGGGGAGUUUGCCUCUCCAAGUAAUGUCAGUAAUGGCACAGAAUUCUCCAAGUGCUGGGAGCCUUGAGGGAUGUACUCAGUAUGCUCUUCAUUAAAUUAUAAUCAUCACCA